GCGUUUUGUCCAUCUACCAAGGUGGAUGGCUGGAGAAAAGACAUGGAGAAACCACGGGACAGAGAUCUUAUAGGAUAGCCUAAGGGGAAUGUCUAGGGGAACACAAAGGCUCAGGAUUGGUGUGCCUCCAGGCUUGGUGGACUUGCCCUGUGUUGAUUGGUCAAUUGGUUGUUAUGGCCCAUAGGCCCUCCCAGGGUGGUUGCUAUGCUCUGCAGUCAUUGCUGUGCACUUGUGGUAAAGCACACCCAGAGCCAUAAAGCAUAGCACCACCAGCUAACUUCGGAUUGGUUCCUUGUCAUGAAGCAGGCAUCUGACCUCCUAGGGACCAAGGCAAGGAUGGAUGGGAGAUCCCCCCCAGCCACCACCCCCCCCAACCACACAACUACCUUCCCGACUGGAACCAUUAAAGACCAGCUUGUCAUUCUGUCAUUUUUUUCUUGGGUCCUUGCCAAGCUCCAGCCAAACAAUGUCUCUCUGUGGAGUGUAUUCAGUCAGUAACAGGCAAGAAUAGCCAAGGAGGGCAAAGGGCUAGUUCUACUGGCCCGUCCAUCCACCGAAGCCCACCACUUGGCCAUGCUCAGGAAGACAUUGCCCCCUCGUGGUUCCUCUUAUAACUGAGCGAAAAGCAGAUUGCAAACACAAUCAAUAAAUCAAAACACAAAGUUUCCGAUUAAUUGUAGCUCUUCUUCUGGACCUUUUCUCCCGCUGUUCCAACGACUCUUGGUUUAUUUCCUCCCAGGAGGUACCUUUGUUACUAUAGAGCGCCGUGGCAGUAUGACAGCAACUUAAAACAGUUUCUUUUAGAAACUUUCCCACAUCUCCAGAUGCCAAAAACAAAACAAAACAAAAAAACCACUGAUCUAAAACUUCAGUAUCACUAUGGAUUUUUUACGUCACAACGCCUUUAGAAGCAAAAGAAAAAUGUUGCGUGCAGCUUGCUUUUUUAUAAUUUGAACCAGGAUUCAGCGAUUAUGUUGCCUUGGAGUUGUUUGGGGUAUCUUGUCUCCACAACACCAUCUCCAACUGCCUAAAGGCAGGGCCCUUAUCU
ensembl:lincRNA